rnacentral:rRNA from 1 species
UAUGCUACAUGAUCCGAGGUCAACCUUAAGAUAAAGGGGUUUUACGGCCGGCACGCGCCGGGACGCCGCGAGCGAGGUGUAUUACUGCGCUACGGGUCCAGGCGCGCCCGCCACUUCUUUUCAGGGCCCGCGGCGGCCGCGGGGCCCCAACACCGAGCAGGGCUCGAGGGUUGAAAUGACGCUCGAACAGGCAUGCCCGCCGGAAUGCCGGCGGGCGCAAUGUGCGUUCAAAGAUUCGAUGAUUCGCUGAGUUCUGCAAUUCACAUUACUUAUCGCAUUUCGCUGCGUUCUUCAUCGAUGCCAGAACCAAGAGAUCCGUUGUUGAAAGUUUUGACUCAUUUAGUGUCUUCUCAGAGGGGCCUAAAUCGCAAGAGUUGUGCUGCGCUGCCGCCGGCGGGCGCCCUUGCGGGCUGCGGCCCCUCCCCGGGGCCGCCCGCCGAAGCAACGAACAGUUGAAGAAACGUUCACGGGUGUAUUAAGGAGAAUGGAACUCGUUAAUGAUCCCUCCGCAGGUUCACCUACGGAAGCC